AGUCGAACGCGAGAGGGGCUUCGGCCCCAAUUGAGUGGCGAACGGGUGAGUAACGCGUGGGUGACCUACCUUCGAGUGGGGGAUAACGUCCCGAAAGGGACGCUAAUACCGCAUGACAUCCUACUCUUGAACGAGUGGAGAUCAAAGCUGGGGAUCGCAAGACCUGGCGCUUGUUGAGGGGCCCGCGUCUGAUUAGCUAGUUGGUGAGGUAAUGGCCCACCAAGGCGACGAUCAGUAUCCGGCCUGAGAGGGCGGACGGACACACUGGGACUGAGACACGGCCCAGACUCCUACGGGAGGCAGCAGUGGGGAAUUGUUCGCAAUGGGCGAAAGCCUGACGACGCAACGCCGCGUGGAGGAUGAAGGUCUUCGGAUUGUAAACUCCUGUUGCUCGGGACGAAAAGCUCUGGCCUAACACGUCAGAGUCUGACGGUACCGGGUGAGGAAGCCCCGGCUAACUCUGUGCCAGCAGCCGCGGUAAUACAGAGGGGGCAAGCGUUGUUCGGAAUUACUGGGCGUAAAGGGCGCGUAGGCGGCCUGCUAAGUCGAACGUGAAAUCCCCGGGCUCAACCCGGGAACUGCGUCCGAUACUGGUUGGCUUGAAUCCGGGAGAGGGAUGCGGAAUUCCAGGUGUAGCGGUGAAAUGCGUAGAUAUCUGGAGGAACACCGGUGGCGAAGGCGGCAUCCUGGACCGGCAUUG
rnacentral:rRNA from 1 species